rnacentral:rRNA from 1 species
AGCGAACGCUGGCGGCAGGCCUAACACAUGCAAGUCGAACGAACUCUUCGGAGUUACUGGCGGACGGGUGAGUAACACGUGGGAACGUGCCUUUAGGUUCGGAAUAACUCAGGGAGACUUGUGCUAAUACCGAAUGUGCCCUUCGGGGGAAAGAUUUAUCGCCUUUAGAGCGGCCCGCGUCUGAUUAGCUAGUUGGUGAGGUAAAGGCUCACCAAGGCGACGAUCAGUAGCUGGUCUGAGAGGAUGAUCAGCCACAUUGGGACUGAGACACGGCCCAAACUCNUACGGGAGGCAGCAGUGGGGAAUCUUGCGCAAUGGGCGAAAGCCUGACGCAGCCAUGCCGCGUGAAUGAUGAAGGUCUUAGGAUUGUAAAAUUCUUUCACCGGGGACGAUAAUGACGGUACCCGGAGAAGAAGCCCCGGCUAACUUCGUGCCAGCAGCCGCGGUAAUACGAAGGGGGCUAGCGUUGCUCGGAAUUACUGGGCGUAAAGGGAGCGUAGGCGGACAUUUAAGUCAGGGGUGAAAUCCCGGGGCUCAACCUCGGAAUUGCCUUUGAUACUGGGUGUCUUGAGUAUGAGAGAGGUGUGUGGAACUCCGAGUGUAGAGGUGAAAUUCGUAGAUAUUCGGAAGAACACCAGUGGCGAAGGCGACACACUGGCUCAUUACUGACGCUGAGGCUCG